AGUGGACGCUGGCGGUAGGCCUAACACAUGCAAGUCGAACGGCAGCACAGUAAGAGCCUGCUCUUACGGGUGGCGAGUGGCGGACGGGUGAGGAAUACAUCGGAAUCUACUUUUUCGUGGGGGAUAACGUAGGGAAACUUACGCUAAUACCGCAUACGACCUACGGGUGAAAGCAGGGGAUCUUCGGACCUUGCGCGAUUGAAUGAGCCGAUGUCGGAUUAGCUAGUUGGCGGGGUAAAGGCCCACCAAGGCGACGAUCCGUAGCUGGUCUGAGAGGAUGAUCAGCCACACUGGAACUGAGACACGGUCCAGACUCCUACGGGAGGCAGCAGUGGGGAAUAUUGGACAAUGGGCGCAAGCCUGAUCCAGCCAUACCGCGUGGGUGAAGAAGGCCUUCGGGUUGUAAAGCCCUUUUGUUGGGAAAGAAAAGCAGCAGGUUAAUACCCCGCUGUUCUGACGGUACCCAAAGAAUAAGCACCGGCUAACUUCGUG
rnacentral:rRNA from 1 species